rnacentral:lncRNA from 1 species
AAGCACAAUUACUUUUGCACCAACCUAAUAGAAAGCUUUGACCUAGAGGAAGGUACUUUAGGAGACUGCCAAUCAUCAGCAUGCUUUCUGUUUCCUUUUCUCUGCUUAUCUAUGUAAGGUUUUAUUCAAAGUGGGUACUCCUGGUUUAUGGUGGGAAUAUGAGUAGGGUUGUGGAGAAAAAGGAUACAGAGGCUUCUAACCCCACGAUCGCUUGAGGGAUGAGCUAUCAAUGAGAAUCUGGAGAUGUAUAUAGAAGCAGUAACCAUUAAAGGUUGUGUGAGUAACUGGGCUCAGGGUAUGCAAAUAGGCAAGGAGUGGGAUGCGCCCCUCAGUGAGCAAGUUCGUGGUUGUCUGAAGCUACUGCGACGGGGAGCCUCUUGGGGUCAGUGGAGAGGCUGAUGAAGCAGAGACAACUCCAGAAAAGAUGAUGCCUGCCACUGAGGCCAUCGGGAUGAUGGUGGGAGGAGGAACAGAGUCCACCUUACAAAAGAGGAGGAAGAAAUAGGGCCUCUUGAAAGGAAAAGUCUUUCUAGCUGGCCAUUGACUGUGACUUGGAAAAAGGCACAGGACCAAGAAAAGUAGAAGAAAAAUUUGAAGAGUACAAAAAAGAAUGUGUGACAGUUUGCUUUAAGUAUGUUUCAUGGAAAUAGCACAUCGCUGGAUCUAACGGCAAUAAGAAGUCUGCAGGGUGUAUAAUGGGAUUUUUUUUGAGUCUCCCAGAUUUAAAUCUAAAUCUUGGCUCCACCACUUACUGGCCAUGUGACCUCACGCAAAUAAAUGAUUACUUCUCCAAAACUCAGUUUCCUUAUUUGUGAAAUGCGACAAUAAUAGCAUCAUAUUAAUUGGAACUCUGAAUUGUAAUAAAAAUGAG